CACCCCCGCUUUUGGCCCGACAGUGGAAACGCGGCUAAUGAGAGAUGUUGAGACAUAGCAUUUGGCCACUGUACAUCAGUGAAUAAACAGAAGGUGGUGAAGUCAUCUGAAGGUGUGCCUGCUAUUACAUGAGCGUUUAUGCUGCAGUGAAGCUGCGCUCAUUUCCAGUGAUGUGUCUCCUUCCAGACAGAAUAUCUGUG
ensembl:lncRNA